CAGCCGCCGCGGGAAUACGUAGGUGGCAAGCGUUGUCCGGAAUUAUUGGGCGUAAAGGGCUCGCAGGCGGUUUCUUAAGUCUGAUGUGAAAGCCCCCGGCUCAACCGGGGAGGGUCAUUGGAAACUGGGAAACUUGAGUGCAGAAGAGGAGAGUGGAAUUCCACGUGUAGCGGUAAGAUGCGUAGAGAUGUGGAGGAACACCAGUGGCGAAGGCGACUCUCUAGUCUGUAACUGACGCUGAGGAGCGAAAGCGUGGGGAGCGAACAGGAUUAGAUACCCGCGUAGUCCCUGUCUCUUAUAC
rnacentral:rRNA from 1 species